rnacentral:tRNA from 1 species
GGUGCGUUAGCUCAGUGGUAGAGCGGCUGACUGCAGAUCAGCAGGUCCUUGGUUCAAACCCGAGACGUACCU